rnacentral:rRNA from 1 species
AUUGAACGCUGGCGGCAUGCCUUACACAUGCAAGUCGAACGGUAACAGGUCUUCGGAUGCUGACGAGUGGCGAACGGGUGAGUAAUACAUCGGAACGUGCCUAGUAGUGGGGGAUAACUACUCGAAAGAGUGGCUAAUACCGCAUGAGAUCUACGGAUGAAAGCAGGGGAUCGCAAGACCUUGUGCUACUAGAGCGGCCGAUGGCAGAUUAGGUAGUUGGUGGGAUAAAAGCUUACCAAGCCGACGAUCUGUAGCUGGUCUGAGAGGACGAUCAGCCACACUGGGACUGAGAAACGGCCCAGACUCCUACGGGAGGCAGCAGUGGGGAAUUUUGGACAAUGGGCGCAAGCCUGAUCCAGCAAUGCCGCGUGCAGGAUGAAGGCCUUCGGGUUGUAAACUGCUUUUGUACGGAACGAAAAGCCCCGGGUUAAUACCCUGGGGUCAUGACGGUACCGUAAGAAUAAGCACCGGCUAACUACGUGCCAGCAGCCGCCGUAAAAC